GGGUUGUGAGGUUAAGCGACUAAGCGUACACGGUGGAUGCCCUGGCAGUCAGAGGCGAUGAAGGGCGUGCUAAUCUGCGAUAAGCGCCGGUAAGGUGAUAUGAACCGUUAUAACCGGCGAUACCCGAAUGGGGAAACCCAGUGUGAUUCGUCACACUAUCAUUAACUGAAUCCAUAGGUUAAUGAGGCGAACCGGGGGAACUGAAACAUCUAAGUACCCCGAGGAAAAGAAAUCAACCGAGAUUCCCCCAGUAGCGGCGAGCGAACGGGGAGGAGCCCAGAGCCUGAAUCAGCAUGUGUGUUAGUGGAAGCGUCUGGAAAGGCGCGCGAUACAGGGUGACAGCCCCGUACACAAAAGCGCAUGUGCUGUGAGCUCGAUGAGUAGGGCGGGACACGUGGUAUCCUGUCUGAAUAUGGGGGGACCAUCCUCCAAGGCUAAAUACUCCUGACUGACCGAUAGUGAACCAGUACCGUGAGGGAAAGGCGAAAAGAACCCCGGCGAGGGGAGUGAAAAAGAACCUGAAACCGUGUACGUACAAGCAGUGGGAGCNNNNNNNNNNNNNNNNNNNNNNNNNNNNNNNNNNNNNNNGGGCGUUAAGUUGCAGGGUAUAGACCCGAAACCCGGUGAUCUAGCCAUGGGCAGGUUGAAGGUUGGGUAACACUAACUGGAGGACCGAACCGACUAAUGUUGAAAAAUUAGCGGAUGACCUGUGGCUGGGGGUGAAAGGCCAAUCAAACCGGGAGAUAGCUGGUUCUCCCCGAAAGCUAUUUAGGUAGCGCCUCGUGAAUUCAUCUCCGGGGGUAGAGCACUGUUUCGGCUAGGGGGCCAUCCCGGCUUACCAACCCGAUGCAAACUGCGAAUACCGGAGAAUGUUAUCACGGGAGACACACGGCGGGUGCUAACGUCCGUCGUGAAGAGGGAAACAACCCAGACCGCCAGCUAAGGUCCCAAAGUCAUGGUUAAGUGGGAAACGAUGUGGGAAGGCCCAGACAGCCAGGAUGUUGGCUUAGAAGCAGCCAUCAUUUAAAGAAAGCGUAAUAGCUCACUGGUCGAGUCGGCCUGCGCGGAAGAUGUAACGGGGCUAAACCAUGCACCGAAGCUGCGGCAGCGACACUGUGUGUUGUUGGGUAGGGGAGCGUUCUGUAAGCCUGCGAAGGUGGCCUGUGAGGGUUGCUGGAGGUAUCAGAAGUGCGAAUGCUGACAUAAGUAACGAUAAAGCGGGUGAAAAGCCCGCUCGCCGGAAGACCAAGGGUUCCUGUCCAACGUUAAUCGGGGCAGGGUGAGUCGACCCCUAAGGCGAGGCCGAAAGGCGUAGUCGAUGGGAAACGGGUUAAUAUUCCCGUACUUGGUGUUACUGCGAAGGGGGGACGGAGAAGGCUAUGUUGGCCGGGCGACGGUUGUCCCGGUUUAAGCGUGUAGGUGUGUGUUCCAGGUAAAUCCGGUUCACUUUAACACUGAGGCGUGACGACGAGGCACUACGGUGCUGAAGCAACAAAUGCCCUGCUUCCAGGAAAAGCCUCUAAGCAUCAGGUAACAUCAAAUCGUACCCCAAACCGACACAGGUGGUCAGGUAGAGAAUACCAAGGCGCUUGAGAGAACUCGGGUGAAGGAACUAGGCAAAAUGGUGCCGUAACUUCGGGAGAAGGCACGCUGACACGUAGGUGAAGUGAUUUACUCAUGGAGCUGAAGUCAGUCGAAGAUACCAGCUGGCUGCAACUGUUUAUUAAAAACACAGCACUGUGCAAACACGAAAGUGGACGUAUACGGUGUGACGCCUGCCCGGUGCCGGAAGGUUAAUUGAUGGGGUCAGCGCAAGCGAAGCUCCUGAUCGAAGCCCCGGUAAACGGCGGCCGUAACUAUAACGGUCCUAAGGUAGCGAAAUUCCUUGUCGGGUAAGUUCCGACCUGCACGAAUGGCGUAAUGAUGGCCAGGCUGUCUCCACCCGAGACUCAGUGAAAUUGAACUCGCUGUGAAGAUGCAGUGUACCCGCGGCAAGACGGAAAGACCCCGUGAACCUUUACUAUAGCUUGACACUGAACAUUGAGCCUUGAUGUGUAGGAUAGGUGGGAGGCUUUGAAGUGUGGACGCCAGUCUGCAUGGAGCCGACCUUGAAAUACCACCCUUUAAUGUUUGAUGUUCUAACGUGGACCCGUUACCCGGGUUGCGGACAGUGUCUGGUGGGUAGUUUGACUGGGGCGGUCUCCUCCUAAAGAGUAACGGAGGAGCACGAAGGUUGGCUAAUCCUGGUCGGACAUCAGGAGGUUAGUGCAAUGGCAUAAGCCAGCUUGACUGCGAGCGUGACGGCGCGAGCAGGUGCGAAAGCAGGUCAUAGUGAUCCGGUGGUUCUGAAUGGAAGGGCCAUCGCUCAACGGAUAAAAGGUACUCCGGGGAUAACAGGCUGAUACCGCCCAAGAGUUCAUAUCGACGGCGGUGUUUGGCACCUCGAUGUCGGCUCAUCACAUCCUGGGGCUGAAGUAGGUCCCAAGGGUAUGGCUGUUCGCCAUUUAAAGUGGUACGCGAGCUGGGUUUAGAACGUCGUGAGACAGUUCGGUCCCUAUCUGCCGUGGGCGCUGGAGAACUGAGGGGGGCUGCUCCUAGUACGAGAGGACCGGAGUGGACGCAUCACUGGUGUUCGGGUUGUCAUGCCAAUGGCACUGCCCGGUAGCUAAAUGCGGAAGAGAUAAGUGCUGAAAGCAUCUAAGCACGAAACUUGCCCCGAGAUGAGUUCUCCCUGAGACUUAAAGUCUCCUGAAGGAACGUUGAAGACGACGACGUUGAUAGGCCGGGUGUGUAAGCGCAGCGAUGCGUUGAGCUAACCGGUACUAAUGAACCGUGAGGCUUAACCUUACAACGCCGAAG
rnacentral:rRNA from 1 species